rnacentral:tRNA from 1 species
GGUGAUAUAACUCAAUGGUAGAGCACUUGCCUAGCAUGCAAGAAGUCCUGGGUUCAAUUUCCAUCACAUCA